GCUCCAUUAGGCAAGUGGUUAAGCCAUCACCCUUUCACGGUGAAGACAGCAGUUCAAUUCUGCUAUGGAGUA
rnacentral:tRNA from 1 species